UACAAGCUGGCUCACACUGCACGCCUGGAAAUAAAAUAAUCCUCAGGACUGGGAUUAUUUUAUUUCCAGGCGUGCAGUGUGAGCCAGCUUGUAAUU